rnacentral:rRNA from 1 species
GAUGAACGCUAGCGGCAGGCCUAAUACAUGCAAGUCGAACGGGAUUAAGAGGCUUGCUUCUUAUGAGAGAGGCGCACGGGUGCGUAACACGUAUGCAACCUACCUUCAACUGGGGGAUAGCCUUCCGAAAGGGAGAUUAAUACCGCAUAAAAUAAUUGAGUGGCAUCACUUGAUUAUCAAACGUCAGGGUUGAAGAUGGGCAUGCGUCCGAUUAGUUUGUUGGUGAGGUAACGGCUCACCAAGACUACGAUCGGUAGGGGAUCUGAGAGGAUGGCCCCCCACACUGGUACUGAGACACGGACCAGACUCCUACGGGAGGCAGCAGUAAGGAAUAUUGGUCAAUGGACGGAAGUCUGAACCAGCCAUGCCGCGUGCAGGAAGACGGUCCUCUGGAUUGUAAACUGCUUUUGUUAGGGAAGAAACUUCCGUACGUGUACGGGACUGACGGUACCUAAAGAAUAAGGAUCGGCUAACUCCGUGCCAGCCGCCGCGGUAAAAC